CGCUCAAAGGGAUGGUAGCGUAGCCCUCCUCAGGCAAAGGUCACACGUUCGAAUCGUGUCGGGUGCGCCA
rnacentral:tRNA from 1 species